ensembl:lncRNA
GAAAUGCAGCAGAAAUUAAUGAGAAGGAACAACAAGAAAUGUGGUGAAGCCAUGUCUGUAGCUCUCUUGUUAGGAAAUUAUUUGACUUCCUUAAAGGUUUCCGUCUCCUUAAAAUGCCAGCUUCAAUGAAUACACCCUUAAAUGACACGUUUGUGCCUGCUGUUUGCGUCAUAUCUGCCUGUGUGAUCUCGUUCAGGUUUCUUCGGAGCUCCAUUUACUCAGUGGGAAAAAAUUAUCGGUAGCCAGAUACAUUAAGAACACAUACUGAAGAACAUUUUCCACACUCAUGUUAUGAAAGCAAGGACAGAUGAUCUAAUCCCAUUUUUACAAAAUGUGAAAUGUGAAAAAUGUGAUCAAUAUGCGUUUGCGCUGCCAACGGCCUCACAAUUUACUACUUCUACGCACUGUGGGCCUGCACAGGGGACUGCAGCGUUUGCUGUAAACUCAAACAGCUUUUAUCCAACUGCAAUAACACGUCUGAAUACUGCUACAAUAAAAUCUCCAUCACGCCACUCGUAUUAAUCUAUUCGCUGACUGAAGUAUGUAUGUGGGAAUGUAUGUGAAUGUUUGCUGAUACUAUUCUUAUUAGCACUUUAAGUAUUUUAUAUAUUUUAUUUUUUGAUUUUAUUGAAUUUUAUUGUUUUAUUUAUAUUUUGAUAUUGUUAGGGAUGAUGCACUGAUCGGGAACCAUUUUUAAUUUCGUUGUACCUGUGACAAUGACAAUAAAGACAUUCUAAUUCUGAGUUUCUGCCCUUUAAUUUUGCACAUCUGGAGGAGCAAAGUUCACCUGUUUGCAAUCAUGUCAUCUCCUUGCUCCUAUUUAAAGUUGAGGUAGCUUUGCUGUUGAUGGCUGAUUGCUGCACUGAUCCUGAUAGUGAAACUGGUUCCUUUUGUCUGAAUCUUUCUUUCUGAGAAGCCAUGUAGAUCUGAGGGACAAUCUGAACAGUGAUGAUCCAGACGAAAAUUCUCUCAGUACCUUUAUUUCUCAUAUUAAUGAUAAUAUCAUAAAACUGUUUAUUUAAGGUAAACCUGUAUUUCCUCAACAGUAAAAAAAUCCAGACUAUCAACACAGUCAUGCACAGUCGAGGAGCGUGUGAGGAUACAUUUCACUGCAUGUUGUACUGG